rnacentral:tRNA from 1 species
GGCCGCGUAGCUCAGUUGGCUUGAGCGCUGGUUGUAUUAAAGCCUUCCCCUUGCUGGUGUGGGUUCGAAUCCCACCGAGGCCA